GGUCAAGCGACCAAGCGCAUAUGGUGGAUGCCUUGGCGGCAACAGGCGAUGAAGGACGUGGUAGCCUGCGAAAAGCCUCGGGGAGCUGGCAAACAAGCUUUGAUCCGGGGAUGUCCGAAUGGGGAAACCCGACCUGGAUAACUAGGUCAUCGGCGUCUGAAUUCAUAGGAUGUCGAGGCAAACCCGGGGAACUGAAACAUCUAAGUACCCGGAGGAAGAGAAAUCAACCGAGAUUCCCUGAGUAGCGGCGAGCGAAAGGGGAGUAGCCCAGCGCGAUUUAGCACGCGGUCUAGCAGAACGGUCUGGAAAGUCCGGUCAUAGAGGGUGAUAGCCCCGUAUGCGAAAGAACGUGUGUGGAACUAGGCGUGCGAAUGAGUAGGGCGGGACACGUGUUAUCCUGUCUGAAUAUGGGGGGACCAUCCUCCAAGGCUAAAUACUCGUUGCCGACCGAUAGUGAACCAGUACCGUGAGGGAAAGGUGAAAAGAACCCCAGUGAGGGGAGUGAAAUAGAACCUGAAACCGUAUGCGUACAAGCAGUGGGAGCCCGCUUCGGCGGGUGACUGCGUACCUUUUGUAUAAUGGGUCAGCGACUUACUUCUCAGUGGCGAGCUUAACCGUAUAGGGUAGGCGCAGGGAAACCGAGUCUUAACAGGGCGAUUCAGUCGCUGGGAGUAGACCCGAAACCGGGCGAUCUACCCAUGGCCAGGGUGAAGGUGCGGUAACACGCACUGGAGGCCCGAACCGGGAGAUGUUGAAAAAUCUUCGGAUGAGCUGUGGGUCGGAGUGAAAGGCUAAUCAAGCCCGGAGAUAGCUGGUUCUCCCCGAAAGCUAUUUAGGUAGCGCCUCGUGUCUCACUCUCGGGGGUAGAGCACUGUUUCGGCUAGGGGGCCAUCCCGGCUUACCAAACCGAUGCAAACUCCGAAUACCGAGAAGUGCAAUCACGGGAGACAGACGGCGGGUGCUAACGUUCGUCGUCAAGAGGGAAACAACCCAGACCGCCAGCUAAGGUCCCGAAAUCAUGACUAAGUGGGAAACGAUGUGGGAAGGCACAGACAGCCAGGAGGUUGGCUUAGAAGCAGCCACCCUUUAAAGAAAGCGUAAUAGCUCACUGGUCGAGUCGGCCUGCGCGGAAGAUUUAACGGGGCUCAAGUCAUGUACCGAAGCUGCGGAUGCGCGCUUGCGCGCAUGGUAGGGGAGCGUUCCGUAGGCCUGCGAAGGUGUGCCGUGAGGCAUGCUGGAGGUAUCGGAAGUGAGAAUGCUGACAUGAGUAACGAUAAAGCGGGUGAAAAACCCGCUCGCCGAAAGCCCAAGGUUUCCUGCGCAACGUUAAUCGGCGCAGGGUGAGUCGGCCCCUAAGGCGAGGCCGAAAGGCGUAGUCGAUGGGAAACAGACUAAUAUUUCUGUACCUCUUGUUGCUGCGAUGGGGGGACGGAGAAGGCUAGGCCAGCCGGGUGACGGAAAUCCCGGUUCAAGCGAGUAGGGAGUAGCUCCAGGUAAAUCCGGGGCUGCAAUCUUGAGACGUGACGACGAGGUCUUCCUUUGGGUUGACCGAAGUGGUUGAUGCCAUGCUUCCAAGAAAAGCCUCUAAGCUUCAGGCAGCAAGAGACCGUACCCGAAACCAACACAGGUGGGCAGGGUGAGAAUCCCAAGGCGCUUGAGAGAACCCUCGUGAAGGAACUAGGCAAAAUAGCACCGUAACUUCGGGAGAAGGUGUGCCUCUGGUGGUGAUGGAACUUGCUUCCGGAGCUACUGGAGGUUGCAGUGACCAGGUGGCUGCGACUGUUUACUAAAAACACAGCACUCUGCAAACUCGCAAGAGGAAGUAUAGGGUGUGACGCCUGCCCGGUGCCGGAAGGUUAAUUGAUGGGGUUAGCUUCGGCGAAGCUCUUGAUCGAAGCCCCGGUAAACGGCGGCCGUAACUAUAACGGUCCUAAGGUAGCGAAAUUCCUUGUCGGGUAAGUUCCGACCUGCACGAAUGGCGUAACGAUGGCCACGCUGUCUCCACGAGGGACUCAGUGAAAUUGAAUUCGCUGUGAAGAUGCAGCGUACCCGCGGCAAGACGGAAAGACCCCGUGAACCUUUACUAUAGCUUCACACUGGCCUUUGAAUAUGCUUGUGUAGGAUAGGUGGGAGGCAUUGAAGCGGGAACGCCAGUUCUCGUGGAGCCAUCCUUGAAAUACCACCCUAGUAUGUUUGAGGGUCUAACUCGGGCCCGUCAUCCGGGUCGAGGACAGUGUGUGGUGGGUAGUUUGACUGGGGCGGUCUCCUCCCAAAGAGUAACGGAGGAGCGCGAAGGUGCCCUCAGCGCGGUCGGAAAUCGCGCGGUGAGUGUAAAGGCAGAAGGGCGCUUGACUGCGAGACAGACAAGUCGAGCAGGUGCGAAAGCAGGCCUUAGUGAUCCGGUGGCACUGCAUGGAAGGGCCAUCGCUCAACGGAUAAAAGGUACUCCGGGGAUAACAGGCUGAUACCGCCCAAGAGUUCACAUCGACGGCGGUGUUUGGCACCUCGAUGUCGGCUCAUCACAUCCUGGGGCUGAAGCAGGUCCCAAGGGUAUGGCUGUUCGCCAUUUAAAGUGGUACGCGAGCUGGGUUUAGAACGUCGUGAGACAGUUCGGUCCCUAUCUGCCGUGGGCGUUGGAGAAUUGAGAGGAGCUGCUCCUAGUACGAGAGGACCGGAGUGGACGUACCUCUGGUGUUCCGGUUGUCACGCCAGUGGCACUGCCGGGUAGCUAAGUACGGACGGGAUAACCGCUGAAAGCAUCUAAGCGGGAAGCCUCCCCCAAGAUGAGGUCUCCCUGGAUCCUUGAGAUCCCUGAAGGGCCCUCGAAGACUACGAGGUUGAUAGGCCGGGUGUGGAAGCGCAGUAAUGUGUGAAGCUAACCGGUACUAAUUGCCCGUGAGGCUUGACCAU
rnacentral:rRNA from 1 species